rnacentral:rRNA from 1 species
GAUGAACGCUGGCGGCGUGCCUAAUACAUGCAAGUCGAGCGAACAGACGAGGAGCUUGCUCCUCUGACGUUAGCGGCGGACGGGUGAGUAACACGUGGAUAACCUACCUAUAAGACUGGGAUAACUUCGGGAAACCGGAGCUAAUACCGGAUAAUAUAUUGAACCGCAUGGUUCAAUAGUGAAAGACGGUUUUGCUGUCACUUAUAGAUGGAUCCGCGCCGCAUUAGCUAGUUGGUAAGGUAACGGCUUACCAAGGCGACGAUGCGUAGCCGACCUGAGAGGAGGAUAGGCAACACUGGAACCGAGCGACGGUCCAGACUCCUACGGGAGGCAGCAGUAGGGAAUCUUCCGCAAUGGGCGAAAGCCUGACGGAGCAACGCCGCGUUAGUGAUGAAGGUCUUCGGAUCGUAAAACUCUGUUAUUAGGGAAGAACAAAUGUGUAAGUAACUAUGCACGUCUUGACGGUACCUAAUCAGAAAGCCACGGCUAACUACGUG